CUCAUUCCCUGCGCCGCCGAGAAAAGUGAGAUCCCGCGAGACUCCCAGGAAUGGCACCAUUGUUGUGCGGAUGCUGAUGCCCAGCGUUGAGCCUGUCGUCUCCUAUAUUAGGGGAAGUUCUCCUGGCCCUUCCCAACUACCUCCCCUGUGCAAGUUUAUUACAACUGAACGGCCUCAAGGAUGAAGUCUGGCUCUGUUGCCCAAGCUGGAGUGUGUUGGCACCAUCUUGGUUCACUGCAACUUCCACCUCCCAGGCUCCAGUGAUUCUCCUGCCUCAGCCUCAAGGGUAGCUGAGAUUACAGGCUGGAGUGCAGUGGCAUGAUCUCACCUCACUGAGAACCUCCACCUCCAGGGUUCAAGUGAUUCUGCUACCUCAACCUCCCAAAUAGCUGGGACUACAGGGUCUCAUUCUGUCACCCAGGUUGGAGUGCAGUGGCAACAUCAUAGCUCACUGCAGCCUUGAACCCCUGGGCUCAAGUGAUCCUCCUGCUUCAGCCUCCUGAGUAGCUGGGGCUACAGGCACUUUCCCUACAUUUUCAAAGGCCUGCAUCAUCACAUCUGCCACAGCAUUCUCUAUCAUUGAGGCAUUUUCUCAGGAAAUCACCUGUGAAAUAUUUUGCAGCUAACCACCUACCUGUGCCCCACCAGCCAACAUGCUUUACUCCUGCCAGGCAGUGAAAGGAAAAUAAAAACGUUGGAACCCAAACCACUCUGCCAAAAGAAAAAUAUUAAGCUGAAAGCUGAUUCAUCCAAGAAGCUACCUUUCCUUUUGUUCCUAAGCGGAGAACUACAGAUAGGUUAAGUAAGGGUAAGUAUCUCUGCCGGGCGCGGUGGCUCACGCCUGUAAUCCUAGCACUUUGGGAGGCUGAGGCGGGCCUCCUCCUCGUGGUCAGGAGAUUGAGACCGUCCUGGCUAACACCGUGAAACCCGUCUCUACUGAAAAUACAAAAAAAUACAAAAAAUAGCCGGGAGUGGUGGCGGCGCCUGUAGUCCCAGCUACUCGGGAGGCUGAGGCAGGAGAAUGGCGUGAACCCGGGAGGCAGAGCUUGCAGUGAGCCGAGAUCGCGCCACUGCGCUCCAGCCUGAGCAAGAGUGAGACUCCGUCACAAAAAAAAAAAAAAAAAAAAUUAGUCGGGUGUGGUGGCGAGCGCCUGUAGUCCCAGCUACUCAGGAGUCUGAGGCAGGAGAAUGGUGUGAACGUGGGAGGCAGAGCUUGCAGUGAGCGGAGACCGUGCCACUGCACUCCAGCCUGGGCAACAGAGCAAGACUCCGCAUCAAGAAAAAAAAAAAGUUAAAUAUCUCCACAGGUUGCUUACUCUAUGUUCACUCUAUCCUCGGUUUUUUGGGAACAAACUCUAUUUGGCUAGAAUAUAUCAUCCUUUUCAUGUAUUGCUGGAUACUACUUGUCCAUAUUUUGGUGAGAAUUCUUGACUAUUUUCCUCUGGAAUGAUUACAUGUAAGGGCACAUGAGAACUCUUGUUGAAAUGUUCUGUAUCUUGAUUGAGGUGAUAAGUGACCUGUGUAUACUUUAAAGAGUCAAAACUCAUUAUACAGUUAAAAGCAGUGCUUCUUACGGUAUGCAAGUUACACCUCAACACUGAUUAAAAAUCCUCUCAGAGAUCAAGUAUAUAUGGGUAAAAUAACAAGACAUCUGGAUUUGUUUGAAAUACUUUGGCACAUAAACAGGGGGAAGGGAUAAAUCUAACAGAACUACCCAUGGUUUUAAAAUGAUCAAAUCUGGAUGAAGGCAACAUGGGGAUUCCUAUUACCAUCUCCCAAUUUUGCUACCCAUUUGAGAUUUUUCAUAACACUAGUUUACAGAAAAAGCAUUAAUCAUAUUGCUAAUUCUAUGCUUACCAAAAAAUUGGCUAAAAUAAUCUUAUAGGAGCUAACUUCAUUUGAAAAUACUCAAAAGUCCCCAGCAUUCAAGAAACUGCCCAAUCAAGAAAAAGCCACAUUAAAAACAGAAGGCAGCUGGCUGGGCACAGUGGCUUAUUCCUGUAAUCCCAGCACUUUGGGAGGCUGAUGCAUGUGGAUCGCUUGAUCCCAGGAGUUCGGGACCAGUUUGGGCAACAUGGCAAAGGCUCAUCUCUACAAAAAAUAUAAACAUUAGCUGGAUGUGGUGGCACGUGCCUGUAGUCCUAGCUACUCCUGGCUUGAGCCCAAGAGGUUGAGGCAGCAAUGAGCCUUGAAUAUGCCACUCCACUCCAGCUUGGGCAACAGAGCAAGACAUAGUCUCAAGAAAACAAAACAACAACAACAACAAAAACAAAACAGGAGACAGUCAUAUUUGCAGCCCAAUACACCUUAUUCCCAAUGUUCUAUCCUGUCCAAGUGUUGUCUAAUGGAAAAAUCUCAUGGUGAACUUGCCUAUAGAUCCCUGGGGCAAAAAAUUACAGGUGCAGAAUACAACAGAGCUUCUAAAGCAGCAUCUCAGUUUCCACUUCCUUCCCUCAAACCUGAGAAAGCACAGUAGACCUUUCUUACAAGGUUCUAAGCUGUUGGAGGCUGCCUGAGGGACUGCUCUGUUUUGAGGAUCUCACACCUUAGGGAAGAAAAGCACUGGAUCAUGCUUGGCAAAGAUGCAGACAGAUUGAAGAGCAGAUGCCUGGGGCAAGAUAUUAUGGGUGGAGACAUACAACAGACCAUCAAAGGCCCAGAGGAGAGACUCUUGGGACAAAUAAAUAUUUAAAAGCAGUUGCCUAUGAGAAAAUGGAAAAAGCCACAAGCAAAGGUAAGAUCCAUGCUCCAAAAAGGCCUGAGAAAAUCUUAAACCUUCUCCUCAGAUUGAUCCCAAAGCUUAGAACGAAUACCAAGAUAAUAGCAAAAAUCCUCCCUGGAAAAGAGUCAGUCUGCAAAAACCGGAAAAGGAGGUUGUUUUUUCCACAAUGCCUAAUUUCUAACAACAACAACAAAAACUCAGAAAACAUGGCCCAAUAAGUGGAAGAAAAUAAAGUGACGGAAACCUUCCCCGGAGAAACAUAAGCUUCAGGCAAACUAGACAGAUUUUAGACUGUCUAAAAUAUUCUCAAAAACUCAUGAAACACGGGUAGAGAAAAGGAAAUCAGGAAAAUAUAUAUGAACAAAAUACCAACAGAGAUUACAAAAAGGAAGCAAACAAAAAUUCUGGACCCGAAAACACAGUAAUUGAAAAAUUCAGUAGAGGGAUUUAACGGCAGAUGAGCAGGCAGAAGAAAUAAUCAGUAAACAUAAAGAGAAGAAUUUGAAAUUUCAGAGACAGAGAAGCAGAAGAGAAAAGAAUGAAAUAAACAGAGCCAAAAGAGUUAUAAGGUGCCAUUAACUGGACAUAUAUAUGGGUGUCUAGAAGAUGCUGAUAGAUUACUGAAGAAAUAAUGGCCAAAACUUCAAAAUUUGAAGACAGACAUGAAUCUACAAGGCCAGCACACUCAACAAACUCCAAGAAUAAAUUCAAGGAGGUCCACACCCAAACACACUUCUCAACUAUACUUACAUGAAACCAGCUUCAGGAACACAGGACUGGCAGGGGGAGAGAAGUUAAGAAUAGUGGCAUCGUGCCUCUCUCAGGGAAAAGCUGUCACCAUAGACUGAGAACUGGAGAGGGACAGGGUUCCAUCUUGUGAUUUUCACAGCCCACAGUGGAGUUUCUCUCAGAGUGGACCAAAAUGGGGGUGGGGAGGGUAGCAGUUUGUGUGUCAAAUGUUACAGACUCUCACUGUUCUCAGAAAGGCUCAGUUGAUUUUUCUGAAUAAAUGUUUCUCUAAAUUCCUGAGUGGUCUUAAGACAAAUUCCGUGUAGUUUAAAUGGUUGUUUUUGGUUUUCUAAAUUACCAGUUAUGGUGUUUUACUGGAGAUACAGUCCACGUCGCUCCUCACUGCCAUUCCAGAAUCCACAUUUCUGAUUAUAGUUGGGACCAGAACUAGGGCCAGGCAAUUAGGUAAGUGGUGUGAUCAUUAUUUGUCCUUAUGGGUAGAAGUAGAAUUAGGAGAUGAGCCUGGCAGGCAGAAGGAAGGAAGGGAAGGAAAAAGCUAUGGCAAGGAAAGAAUGAACAAGCCUCAGCACCUAAGCAAGCAAAUGGGAAGUUUGCCAAGGUAGGGAAACUUCCUUUACCUAGAUCACAACGAGAGAAGUAAAACAGACAAGGGGCACUACUGAGCUGGUUUCUAGAUAUUUCUUCUCUCAUGCUUCCCAUCUUAAUGAACCUGAGUGUGAAAUCUGAAUUGUAAGGAGAAAUUUUUGAGACCUGGAAAAUUUCUGCAUAAACUGGGUAAUGAGUGAAAUUAAUACAUUGCUAAUUUUGUUGAGUAUGAUUCUGGUACUCUAGUUACGUUAAAAGGCAAGACAGUAACAACAAAAAUAGUCCUCAGAGAAGUAGCUGCAGUAAAUUUACAGAUAAAAUGGUGUCUUGGAUUGGCUUCAAGAUGCUCUAGCCUGAAAACAGAAAGCAUGGGGUGGGGAGGGGGUUGGAUGAAAUAAGAAGAGCAAAGUGUUAAGGUGCAACAAGGGAACAGAGAGAUCUGUUAUAUAUUCUCUCUACUUUAGUUCCUACUUCAAUAUUUUUCAUAGUAAAUUUGAAAAAAAUUGAAUAUCCCUUCCAAGAUAAUUUGGAGAGGAAAAAUAGAGAAAACUUUCAUUUCCAGGGUGUGAAUGGAGAACACUGCAAACUGUUUGGUCUCACUCCUGCCAUCUGUUGCCAUCUGUGGGAGUUAAUAUCCUGUAGGAACAGAAACUGAGAGCCGUAAGAAAGUGGUUUAAAUUAGUUACCAAUAAAUUAGAUAUGAAUAUGAGGCAAACUUGAAACAUUUAGCUCCUCCACGUAUAUUUCAUUAAAAUUCUCCUAAGAUAAAAAAACAGCUCCUACAUUUUUGGGAGAUGAAAAAUGUUCAUAUGUUGAUUUGAUGAUCAAGACUUCACUAUAUACAUUUCUCAAAACUCAUCAACUAGAACUUAAAAUGGGAGAUAAUUUUAUUGUCUCAAUUAUACCUCAAUGAAGCUAAUUCUUAACAGAAACCCCCAAAAUCCCAGCUUGCUCCACAACCCAGUCCACUUGAUCCCAGAUAUGUUACAUAAAGUAAAAAUUAUUAUUUUUUGAGACAGAGUCUCACUGUCCCCCAGGCUGUAGUGCAGUGGCAUGUUCUCUGCUCACUGCAACCUCCAUCUCCUGGAUUCAAGCGAUUAUCUUGCUUCAGGCUCCAGAGUAGUUGGGAUUACAGGCGUGAGCCACCAUGCCUGGCUAAUUUCUGUAUUUUUAGUAGAGAUGAGGUUUCACCAUGUUGGCCAGGCUGGUCUCGAACUCCUGGCCUCAGGUAAUCUGCCCGCCUUGGCCUCCCAAAGUGCUGGGAUUACAGGUAUGGGCCACCACGCCAAGCCGUAAAAAUUAUUUCAACUGAUUAACACGCCACUUCUUAGUCUGUGAAAUGGGGAUUCCAAUUCCUAACUUCCACAUUGGUUGAAGAGAUGAAUAGGGCAAUGACUAUAAAGCCCUGUCCCUGGGACAGGACAAUGGCUCAGCACAUGCUGACUGAAUAAUUUUUUACAAGACCUGGUCUGCACCACGAAUGCAGCAGCCUGAAUAAAGCACUGAGAGAAGAAAUGUAGGGACAAUGAUGGAAGUGUCCUGAAUGAGGGCAUCAGAUCUGGGGAACGUUCCCCAUGAGAACCGGCUGAGAGGUUCUGAGCCUCAGAUGGGACAGUGUAGGGCACAAGAUGUCAGACAUUAGCAAAGGAAACCCACCAUGGUUUAGGGCAGAGAAGGCACUGCAGGAAGGCAAUACAUAAGAAGUCCCCACCUGGGGUUGGGCUGUCCUCCCUUACCCUGCAGACAGUCCUCUCACGGGUAACGUGGGAGUGGAGGAAGAGGAGCUGGGGACUAAAAUGGCUCUAAAAUGAGCUCUGCGAUCCUCAAAGGUGGCCUUGGAAAUUCCCAGUCCCAGGGUAGAGCCUCUUCUUGUUAAAAAAAAAGGACCCAAAGUCUUCCAGAGAAGAAAACUUUACGCAGGUUCCUGGGAACAGAUCCUGAGUGUGGGCAUCGCAACAGACCCUGUCCUGACAUGAUGCUAACACUAAACACAGCAUAUCCUGUCGGUGCUUCCAGAAUAAGGAAGUGUUGAUAUUCAUUAUAAUAUUUAACACUUUUUUAGAAUUUAAUAUAUGCCAGGGACGGUUCCAGGCGUGGCACAAAUUUUUCUGCAUUCAAUCUUCACAACUGUCCUAUGAAGUGACUAUUACCCACCAAUUUCAGAUGAGGAAACAGGCACAAAACAUUUAAAUGCCUUUCUCAAAGCAACACAGCCAAGAAAGUGAUAGAGCUUGGGUUUCAACUCUCACUGUAAAGGACUAUGUCUUAACCAGUAGGCAUGGCUAUGACAUUCCUCAAUGAAUCUGCACAGAUUAGGAGGGGAUCUGGGUCAAGCUAGAUUAGCUUGCAAGGUCAUGAGGUAUAUCUUGACUGAUGGGUCUCUCUACUUGGGGGUUCUGCUGACAAUUUUUCCAUAAUGAAAUGAUUAAAAUCAGUUAUUUGGAUGGUCAGUCCACAGCCCCAGAGACAUUUAAAAAAACUGCUGGGCCCAAUGGUUGCUGUUACUCCCACUCCAAUAACCGAGGAAGCCCUACCAACCUGGUGAGGACUAAAUUCACCUUUUUUCCCUUGCCCAAAUGCCUAUGUAUGAGGCUUGGGGAAUCCUGCCCGAGAAACCAUAAAAUCUCAUCAGAUGAGUUUUAUUACUCUUAUAUAAUGAGGCUCACUUUCCAACCUGACUCUGGUACAGCAUCACAUGACAGCAGAUGCUGAAGGAAAUUAUUUUACCCCAAAAUAUACUUCUUUGACAUGUUUUGAAGUGGCUGCCACAGGGGCAACAGAUUGAAAUGGAUAGCCCCGCAAAGCUAUCUUUAGUGGGAAAAUUUGCAUCUGCAGCGAAUCUCCAUUAAUGUAGCCAGACCUCCUUUGUUCUAAGCCUUUCUUAGGUCUGG
rnacentral:lncRNA from 1 species